AUGGUUACAGUUGGAGUCAGAGACAAGGGGCAGACGAUGGCACCCUGUGGGCUGAGGGGCAGCAAUAAACCAUGAUGGCAAUAGAGGAUCCGAGAUGGUGAGGACAGACACUUGAGCUGAGGAAGCAGUGCUAUCCACUGUGUUCCUCCUCUUAAGGAUGUAGGUAAUGUGGGAAGAUGGAGGGCUGACAGGAGAUGCUUGUAGGAGAUUCCCAGGGAGGUGUCUAAGAAACACUUUCAGCUACUUUCCCAAAGCUAAGUGUUUCCAAAGAUGCUUGAAACAGUUGUGUAGAGAACAGGAUGGACCAAACUGGGAGAUGACUGAGCACCGGAUGUCCCUUGCAAUUCUCAGAGUGCCAUGAGGUGAGACCUCUGUGACAUCACAGGGUAAAUCCCUGCCUUAGUAAUAGCAGACUGCUUAGCCUGAGGAUAACUCAGAGUCCAGCAAGGAGGGCUGGGAUUCACACUUUGCAUGUGUGUCUGCCUAGGCUUGGGAUGUUUUCUGGGAUGGACUACCUGAAAUUCGUCACGUCUACAUCCAUAUGUGUGAAAGUGCAUGAGGAGGACAUGGAAUGAUACCACAUAUCUUGCUACAAAUAUGUAUAAACAGUUGCUGUUUGUGGUCCCCCUCGCACCCACGAAUAACUGGGUCCUGCUGGAUGGAACAACACAUGCCAUUUAGAAUGUAACACCAUGUUUCUGCAGUUGAAAGAAGCGUUUCAGAAGAGGACCACUAAGUGAUGGUAGG
rnacentral:lncRNA from 1 species